CUCCUGCAUGUCUUUACUCACAUCCUCACUGCCACGCAGGCGCACCAGCGCUGUCAACACAACACAAUCACAAUGUGUCUUUGUCUUCCACAUUAAGGAUGAGAAUAUAAAAAUGCUCUGUUCGCAUGUGAGAAUCUUCUGACAACCAUGAAGGUCAUUACAUUGUAUUUAAGUAUUUUCAUACACAGUAUAUACUGUAUAUGUACUUCUAAACACUUCUACUGAACUACAAUUCUGAGAGAAAUAUUGAACUUGUUACUUCACAGAUUUGGAUUAAUAAUACAAAAUAUAAUUCAUUAAUUAUAGAGCUACUUUAGCUUAUUAUUAUUAUAAGUAUAGAGCUUAUGAUAGGUGAACUGACAUUAGAGUAUGUACAAUAACCCCCUCUUUCCCCAGCUGCAACAUUAACAUUAAAGUGAUAAUAAUGCAUCAUAAUUAUAAUAUUAUAAUAUAAGCAAUUGGUUCAGUUGUUAGGAGAAACUUAAACAAGCUUAUUUAUCUUCACCGGGAGCUGAAAAACAAAUUUGCUGCAUUGAAACAACUGAAAGGUUGACUUUAAGAAAAUGUAUUAUGUCAACAGAGAUGUCACAUAACUGUAUUAGGUUAGUUGAGAGCACCACAAACUGCAGGCAGUCACUAUGAUGCAGCUCUCAUGAGUGGAGCCUCGUGUUUGUUUGUGUUUGUUUCAGAGGAGAGGUGUGAAGAGGAAGAGGGUCAGCGCCUGAGAGACGACCCUGACAGCCUGCGUGUUGAACAGAUGCCAAAACCUUCUGCCUGCUCAAGGACUCUUCUUCCUGCAGGAUAAACAUCGCCCAGACUCACCUCAAUUCACCCCUGCCUGCAACUAAUGCUAUCUCUAUAUUGAAUCGAUCCUUCUGUCGUGCUUUUCUCACUUUUCUCAGCAGAUCUUUUACCAAAGCUUUGAAUGUCGUCGACAUUCUUUUUUAGAUUAAAUACAUUUUUUCUAAAACUGUUUUAACAGUAUUUUCACUAGUUCCAGCAGUAUCGGCAGUGGUGUAUUUGUUAAUAUAGACAUUAGUGUCAUUUGUAAAAAAAGUGAUAUUGUAAGCUGAAGUUUUGUCAGUAUUAGUGCGUACCUUUGCGUGCCUGCUCCUCCUGUUUAAGGUUGAUGAGCAGGAAGCGAGGGCUCUCAGGGCAGAAGGGCAGCAGGAUGCACUGCAGCACAGCAGGGACCACGGUGAGGGACAGCAGCAGGGGCCACAGCUUGGCUGAGCCCAGCAGACCCUCCAGCCCGAAGACCUAAACACCAAGGGGCACAAAAGCUGGGAAACCUCCUGCUGACCUGAGCGAUGAGGAUGCCCACUACCACACCGAGCUGGUGAAGAGUCCCGAAGGCCCCUCGUAGUGGAGUUGGUGACACCUCGCCCACGUACAUGGGAGUCAGACCGGUAAAGAGCCCGCAGAACAGGCCGAUGACCAGGCGACCGGCGAUUACCAUCUCAUAGGAGGAGCAGAUGGUGGAGAAGCCCAUGAGGAGGCCGCCGAUCACCGCUAGAAUGUUCACCAGGAACAUGGAGCGACGCCUGGGGAAUAAGAGGAGGAGGAGAGAGAGCAUUAGCUUUGUUUAGCUAACAGUUCUUCUAACAGCAUGGUCAUUUAAAUGUUUGUAGCUUAGUGAUUUGAAUGACAAUAGAGGAAGGGAGGUUGUUGGUGGGGUGAGCAGAAUCAGAAUGCCUUUAUUAGUCCCAUAGAGGGGACAUUUGAGAAGUUACAGCAGAAAGAAAAAAGCCACAGAGUGACAGCUUAAUGUAUGUUACAUGCAUUAAAAAGUACUAAGUUAUGAUAUAAUAAAAAAUAUAAAAAAUAUAAUU